UGACGGUAUCAUAUGAAUAAGCACCGGCUAACUCCGUGCCAGCAGCCGCGGUAAUACGGGGGGUGCAAGCGUUACUCGGAAUCACUGGGCGUAAAGAGCAUGUAGGCGGGUGAAUAAGUUGGAAGUGAAAUCCUAUAGCUUAACUAUAGAACUGCUUCCAAAACUGUUCACCUAGAGUAUGGGAGAGGUAGAUGGAAUUUCUGGUGUAGGGGUAAAAUCCGUAGAGAUCAGAAGGAAUACCGAUUGCGAAGGCGAUCUACUGGAACAUUACUGACGCUCAGAUGCGAAAGCGUGGGGAGCAAACAGGAUUAGAUACCCUGGUAGUCCACGCCCUAAACGAUGUACACUAGUUGUUGCUAUACUAGAUAUGGCAGUAAUGCAGUUAACACUUUAAGUGUACCGCCUGGGGGAGUACGGUCGCAAGAUUAAAACUCAAAGGAAUAGACGGGGACCCGCACAAGCGGUGGAGCAUGUGGGUUUAAUUCGACGAUACGCGAAAAACCUUACCUGGCCUUGACAUUAGUAGGAAUCU
rnacentral:rRNA from 1 species